rnacentral:lncRNA from 1 species
AAAAAAAAAAAAAAGAUUUCAAUUUCAUAAAUCCAAUAAAAUCAUUUUUUUCUGAAAUUAACAAGUUUUUAUCGUCAGCAUCAAUUCGUGCGAAAUUAGAAAAUAACAGCAAUAAAAGAAAUAUUUAACCCUUUUGUCAAAUUUCUACAAUAAUAGUUUCACAAUAAGCUUCAGAUGACCCAAAUUAAUGACUAUAAAUAAACAAAAUAAAUUGAAGUUUCAAGAUUUCAAAAGGCUAAUAAUUUGCCCUCACCAACCUUCCCUUGCAUAAAAAAUAAAGCAUUUAAAUGGAGAAAAAGUAAACCCUAAGAUAUUUACCCAGUUUCUUAUAUACGAAGACUAAAUACUUUUAUACCCACCCAAAAGAAAAUAAUAAAAAAUCAAAAGCAGCUUAUUGAAGAAACAAGCCCAGAAUCCUACCUUCAAACCCCAUAUCAAGAAAAAGGGAGAACGGGAAAAGUUGACUAGACCUUUGAACAACUUUGCGAAAUUCAAAGGGAAAUUCAGAAAUGGAACGUCUGCUUAAUAUAUCUCAAAAUUUUAGAGAGAGAAAGAUAGAGAACUGUGUGGAGAAGAAAAGGGAGUUAGAGAGAGAAGCGCUGGGAUGACUAAAAUUAUGGGGUUCUUUGCUUUUCUUGGUAAAUCUAGUGUAGAGAGAGAAAAAGGAGAGAGAAAGAUUCUGUGACAGCAUCGUAGGAUUCUAAUGUACAGUUCCGUGCAUGUCCUUCCAACGAAAUUACCCGUAACAAAAGGACAAAUUGAAACCACUAAAAAAUUAUCCUUCUCUCGUU